UCCACAAACAUUAUUAUAACCAACAACAUCAAUGUCGCAAAUGAGGCUUUUAGAAGAAACAAUCUUAUCAAGAAAAAAAAGGAUAAAAAUUGAGUUGCCCCAACUCAAAGCAAAGCCCCUGGAAGA